GCCCCGCGCGGUGGCGCUGCCUGUAGUCCCAGCUACUCGGGAGGCUGAGGCUGGAGGAUGACUUGCACCCAGGAGUUCUGGGCUGUAGUGUGCUACGCUGAUUGGGUGUCCGCACUAAGUUCGGCAUCAAUAUGGUGACCUCCCAGGAGCGGGGGACCACCAGGUUGCCUAAGGAGGGGUGAAACGGCCCAGGUUGGAAACGGAGCAGGUCAAAACUCCCGUGCUGAUCAGUAGUGGGAUCGCGUCUGUGAAUAGCCACUGCACUCCAGCCUGUACAGCACAGCGAGACCUCAUCUCU
rnacentral:SRP_RNA from 1 species